rnacentral:lncRNA from 1 species
UCUCCCGAUGGCUUCCACAAAUGCCGCCCUAUCCAGAUAGAGCUCAGUCUCCUCCAUGUCGGAAGAUACAGUGAUAAAAGCCUUUGGCAUGUCCGAGCCAGAUGGAGGAGGGGGUGGUGGAUGUGAAGAAGGCGUAGGUGUCAUUAGGGCUCGUUGCCGGGUAGUGUGAAAGAGGUGUUUCGCCUGCGUUUUGGAAGGAGUCUGCCUCCGCCUUUUCAUUUGAGAGAGGACCACCAGCUCUUUGCAUGAUCUUGUUCUGU